AGGAGAAAUGGCUGAGUGGUCGAAAGCGACGGAUUGCUAAUCUGUUGAUUGCUUUUAGUCAAAAGCAAUCCAAGGGUUCGAAUCCCUUUUUCUCCG
rnacentral:tRNA from 1 species